UGGGGAAUAUUGGACAAUGGGGGAAACCCUGAUCCAGCGAUGCCGCGUGUGUGAAGAAGGCCUGCGGGUUGUAAAGCACUUUCAGUUGGGAAGAGAAGCGUGAUGUAAAUAAUGUCACGUGGAGACGUUACUAACAGAAGAAGCACCGGCUAACUCUGUGCCAGCAGCCGCGGUAAGACGGAGGAGGCUAGCGUUGUUCGGAAUUACUGGGCGUAAAGCGUGCGCAGGUUGUGAGUUCAGUUGGAUGUGAAAGCCCGGGGCUUAACCUCGGAUGUGCAUCCAAUACUGGCUCGCUGGAGGUUGGAAGAGGAGAGUGGAAUUCCCAGUGUAGAGGUGAAAUUCGUAGAUAUUGGGAAGAACACCAGUGGCGAAGGCGGCUCUCUGGUCCAUACCUGACACUCAUGCACGAAAGCGUGGGGAGCAAA
rnacentral:rRNA from 1 species